rnacentral:rRNA from 1 species
GACGAACGCUGGCGGCGUGCUUAACACAUGCAAGUCGAACGGAAAGGCCCUGCUUUUGUGGGGUGCUCGAGUGGCGAACGGGUGAGUAACACGUGAGUAACCUGCCCUUGACUUUGGGAUAACUUCAGGAAACUGGGGCUAAUACCGGAUAGGAGCUCCUGCUGCAUGGUGGGGGUUGGAAAGUUUCGGCGGUUGGGGAUGGACUCGCGGCUUAUCAGCUUGUUGGUGGGGUAGUGGCUUACCAAGGCUUUGACGGGUAGCCGGCCUGAGAGGGUGACCGGCCACAUUGGGACUGCGAUACGGCCCAGACUCCUACGGGAGGCAGCAGUGGGGAAUAUUGCACAAUGGGCGGAAGCCUGAUGCAGCAACGCCGCGUGCGGAAUGACGGCUUUCGGGUUGUAAACCGCUUUCGCCUGUGACGAAGCGUGAGUGACGGUAAUGGGUAAAGAAGCACCGGCUAACUACGUG